rnacentral:misc_RNA from 1 species
UUUCCGUAGGUGAACCUGCGGAAGGAUCAUUAUUGGAUAACCGAGGUGCGAGGGCUGUCGCUGACCCGAAAGGUCGUGAACGCCCGAGUGCCCUCACACACAUCCAUCUCACCCCUCUGCGAACCACCGCGUGGCUCCCCCUUUGGGUCGUUCGGAGGGGGGCUUACGUUUUCAGACAAACUUUGUAUGCAGUGUAGAAUGUAUUUUUGUUUUUGCGAUCACGCAAUCAAUACAACUUUCAACAACGGAUCUCUUGGCUCUG